AGUAUUCCUGCCCAGUGAUAAAUUUCAACGGCCGCGGUAUCCUAACCGUGCAAAGGUAGCAUAAUCACUUGCCCAUUAAUUGUGGGCUAGAAUGAAAGGACUAACGAAAUAAAAACNGUCUCUAUAAGUACCAUAAAAAUUAAUCUCUAACUGAAGAUUGUUAGAUAGCGUCGAAGGACAAGAAGACCCUAUAGAGCUUUAUUUUAAUAAAUAACUAUAAUUUAUAUAAAAUUCGGUUGGGGCGACCAGGGAAAUUAAAUAUCAUCCCUUAAUAAUAGAUAAUUCAAUCACACACUUGACCCUUACUAAAGAUCAUUAAAACAAGCUACCUUAGGGAUAACAGGCUAAUCCCACUAAAGAGUCCUUAUCAAUAGUGAGGUUUGGCACCUCGAUGUUGGCUUAGGGAAUCUAUAUGGCGCAAAAGUCAUAUAAAGAUGGUUUGUUCAACCAAUAACACCCUACGUGAUCUGGUUUCAACC
rnacentral:rRNA from 1 species